GACGAACGCUGGCGGCGUGCUUAACACAUGCAAGUCGAACGGAAAGGCCCUGCUUUUGUGGGGUGCUCGAGUGGCGAACGGGUGAGUAACACGUGAGUAACCUGCCCUUGACUUUGGGAUAACUUCAGGAAACUGGGGCUAAUAUCGGAUAGGAGCUCCUGCUGCAUGGUGGGGGUUGGAAAGUUUCGGCGGUUGGGGAUGGACUCGCGGCUUAUCAGCUUGUUGGUGGGGUAGUGGCUUACCAAGGCUUUGACGGGUAGCCGGCCUGAGAGAGUGACCGGCCACAUUGGGACUGAGAUACGGCCCAGACUCCUACGGGAGGCAGCAGUGGGGAAUAUUGCACAGUGGGCGGAAGCCUGAUGCGGCAACGCCGCGUGCGGGAUGACGGCCUUCGGGUUGUAAACCGCUUUCGCCUGUGACGAAGCGUGAGUGACGGUAAUGGGUAAAGAAGCACCGGCUAACUACGUG
rnacentral:rRNA from 1 species